GAAGGUGUAGCUCAGUGGUAGAGCACGUGAUGUGCACGCACGAGGCCCUGGGUUCAAUCCCCAGUACCUCCA
rnacentral:tRNA from 1 species